AGUCGAACGGUAACAGUCCCAGCUUGCUGGGAGCUGACGAGUGGCGCACGGGUGCGUAACGCGUAUACAAUCUGCCUUUAAGCGGGGAAUAGCCCAUGGAAACGUGGAUUAAUACCCCAUAGUAUAUAGGAGUCACCUGACUUUUAUAUUAAACAUUUAUGGCUUAAAGAUGAGUAUGCGUCCUAUUAGUUAGUUGGUAAGGUAACGGCUUACCAAGACGGCGAUAGGUAGGGGUCCUGAGAGGGAGAUCCCCCACACUGGUACUGAGACACGGACCAGACUCCUACGGGAGGCAGCAGUGAGGAAUAUUGGACAAUGGAGGCAACUCUGAUCCAGCCAUGCCGCGUGCAGGAAGACGGCCCUAUGGGUUGUAAACUGCUUUUAUACGGGAAGAACCACAUCUACGUGUAGAUGCUUGACGGUACCGUAUGAAUAAGGACCGGCUAACUCCGUGCCAGCAGCCGCGGUAAUACGGAGGGUCCAAGCGUUAUCCGGAAUCAUUGGGUUUAAAGGGUCCGUAGGCGGGGUAAUAAGUCAGUGGUGAAAGUCUGCAGCUCAACUGUAGAAUUGCCAUUGAUACUGUUAUUCUUGAAUUAUUAUGAAGUGGUUGGAAUGAGUAGUGUAGCGGUGAAAUGCAUAGAUAUUACUCAGAACACCUAUUGCGAAGGCAGAUCACUAAUAAUAUAUUGACGCUGAGGGACGAAAGCGUAGGUAGCGAACAGGAUUAGAUACCCUGGUAGUCUACGCCGUAAACGAUGGUUACUAGCUGUCCGGCCUAAUUGAGGGCUGGGUGGUUAAGCGAAAGUGAUAAGUA
rnacentral:rRNA from 1 species